rnacentral:tRNA from 1 species
AAUCUUAUAGUUAAAAAAUAAUAUUAAACUGCAAUUUUAAAGUUAAUAAAAAUAAAGAAGUUUAAGGUUU